GCCCGCCUAGCUCAAUCGGAUAGAGCGUGAGACUUUUACGCUUACGUAACAUCUCAAGGCUGCGGGUUCGACCCCCGCGGUGGGCU